rnacentral:rRNA from 1 species
CCCUUAGAUGUUCUGGGCUGCACGCGCGCUACACUGAUGCACUCAACGAGUUUUCGACCUUGUCCGAGAGGAUUGGGUAAUCUUUUUAAAAUGCAUCGUGAUGGGGAUAGAUUAUUGCAAUUAUUAAUCUUCAACGAGGAAUUCCUAGUAAGCGCGAGUCAUCAGCUCGUGCUGAUUACGUCCCUGCCCUUUGUACACACCGCCCGUCGCUCCUACCGAUUGAGUGCUCAGGUGAAUAAUUCGGACUGCAGCACUGCUUGGUCUCCAGGCUUUGCAGCGGAAAGUUUAGUGAACCUUAUCACUUAGAGGAAGGAGAAGUCGUAACA